UACAGAGGGGGCAAGCGUUGUUCGGAAUUACUGGGCGUAAAGGGCUCGUAGGUGGCCAACUAAGUCAGACGUGAAAUCCCCAGGCUCAACUUGGGAACUGCGUCUGAUACUGGAUGGCUUGAAUUCGGGAGAGGGAUGCAGAAUUCCAGGUGUAGCGGUGAAAUGCGUAGAUAUCUGGAGGAAUACCGGUGGCGAAGGCGGCAUCCUGGACCGACAUUGACACUGAUGAGCGAAAGCUAGGGGAGCAAACGGG
rnacentral:rRNA from 1 species